CUGGUUAUUUUUGAUUUUGAAAUGUAUGAAAGUCUCGGAAGAGUUCAAAAAAGAAAGAAAAUUUGUCACAUUUCAAACCAACAUAUUGCAUCAAGUAAAUUAAACCACGAUUCUCAAACUGCUCGUCUAACUGACAGCUCAAAUGCAUUUUAAAAAGGCGUCCGAUUCCAAGCCCUGCUGACAUUACCAUCUCCUCCCCUCUCUCUCUGGGCUCAGCGAAACCCAACCACAAUCAGCAAAUAGGAGGGAAGCCACAUGCUGUCCCCCAACACGCCACAGCUCUCGUGGCUAAAUCACUCGAUGCUUCAAUACAUAGCACUUGGAGUUUGGUUAUUUUUACCCUGCCACUCUUGAUUGGCAUCUACUGCCAAAAAGCAGUCGUUUUCUCUAUCUAAAGAAAAACCUGCUCAGUUUUACACAAAAACAGAAAAGGCAGCCCUACUCAUAAAAAUCCAAAGUUAAUACAAAAGUAAUUAAUAUUCCAGGACUUCUGCUGGUGUCACUCAUGGAGGAGAUGCCAUCCGAGGCAAGCAAAGUCGCAGAACGCAAGCUUUCACGUCGCUCUUCUAAGAUCUAGUCAGUCAGGCGGCUUUGAUGUGUGAACCCGGAUGACAGACAGGCUGCGGCUCACCCACCACCCACCGCGGCUAACAGCUGCUGCCGACUAGGGCUGGGGGACGCCUUCUAAAAGAUCCCUGUUACCUUUUCUCCGACUUGGACUUCAAGAUCUUUUAGUGUCCGGUAGCCAUUUGCUUCACUCACACCUCCCCUUCAAGAUAAAGACAAAACAAAAAAAUCUUUGUUAAAUAUGUUUUGACCAAGCAAAUGCUUACACAGGGCCUGCAGAGAUCAAGACGCUGUUUUAAAGCGCUAGGUAUUUCUUGCGUGUUGCCACCUGCAGGGGUGUGAACUCGGCAACGUCAGCUUCCCUGUGCCUCAGUGGCCUCAUCUGUAAAGGGAAGCCGGGCCUGCUGCUCAGGGGUGGGGACAAAGCCAUCACAGCUGACGCCUAAUGGACACUUACGUGUGCCAAGCCACAUCUCAUUUUACCCUGACGACGGCUCUCUGGGUCGGGGACCUUUAGCACCCUGACUUUACAGACCAAGACACAGGUGACAUGUGGGCACCAGAAGCACCCUGUGCAGACCCCCUCUUGCCCCUCUGCUGCAGCACUUGGUCCUGGCCACACGGGGCUCCUGCCCAUUCUGCGCACCGUGGCCACUCCGUGAAGGGCUUUAGGGCGACGUGUGCCACACAGCCCUCCAGCUCCUGUUAACCUGCACCUGUGUGUUUUCCAGGUAGCCCCCGCCACUCAGAGCCCUCUCUGGACAGACAGAGGCUGGGGACAGAGUGGAGGGAGCACUCAGGCUCCUGCCCCUCACAGGGUUUGCCCUGUGCCUCCCACACACUGGGUCCAGGCAGAGCUGAUGAGCAGGACACCCUCCCUUCUGGUGACAGCCACCGAGGGGAAAUAACCAGUAACAAAUAAACAGCUGAACUAACAGCGGGUGUCACCAAGAAAAUAAAGGUGGAGGGACAAACUGGAGGUGGGGAAGAUGGCACGGCCCUUGGAUGAGUGGGCAGGUCUCUACAAGCUGAGUGGCGAUGCUGCUGCCCAGGCAAAGCAAAGGGAGACACAGCCAGCACGGAGCCCCGG
rnacentral:lncRNA from 1 species